GAUGAUGAUAGAAGGCAGGUCAGACCGGGUGUCGAGAAUUAAUUAGCAUCUCUACUUUUUCUACAAAAGGGUAAUGAACCUAUAAGUAAAAGGAAAUCUUGCUCAAUGGAGGAAUAAUGAAGUGGAUGGCAUGAAGAUGCUGGCCAGGGGGUGCUGGAGUCCAGGAUCUGCUUAAAGCAGUUCACACGCUCUGGCAGAACAUCACUGUUGAAGAGUGAGGCUAGAAGUGAUCCUGAACAAAUCAGUAGUAGCAGAUGAUCCAAGAGGAGGUGCUUUCUGCUGCCCCUCAAUGGAAUGACAAAGUUUGCAAAGAGUUUAUGUCACUGAAGAUGAUCUCAUUACAGCUCAGUCUCAGAGAUAAAGCAUUCACAAGAUAAGAGAAGACAGCAGAGCAUGUUCAUCUUGUCAAAUGACACUUUAACUGGAAUACAACUUCUUAACUGCUGUGUUUGUACAAAUUUAGCAUAUAGAGUGAUCCUGGAAAGUUUCUGAGAUCCAGCGUGUACAGCAUAUCUUUCUCCUCCCAGCAUGUUCUUGUGCAGUCUCUCAGCAAUAAGAAGCAGAACAGAUCUAUUUCAACAGCAUGGCUGGAGUCUUUAAUUUACUAUGCUGAAAGCUAGAGGUGGCAGAAGGUAUUAUCAGCCUGCAUUCAUGCAAAGCAAGGUGAGCAUCACCCUGUAGAGGAUCAUUAAAUCAUUGUCAAACAGACACUUGAAGAAGAGGAAAACAAACAAACAAGAAGGAUCUAUGGCAUAGAGCCUUAACUAUUUGACAGGUAAAUCUACUGUGAUUGCUAUGAGCAUAUUUGCACAGAUUUGUUCUUCUUUAUACUGUUAUUACAGCCUAAUUCAUUUACAGUCUGUAUCUCUAAAAACUGGCAUGAUUACAUUGCAGUAUUUUCUGUCUUCCUCUUUACUGGCCUUGACAAAAACUCAUGCAAAUCAAAUUAAGUGGAAGAGUAUUUCAGACAAAACUUCAGAAAACAGUCAGUGAAUGCAUGCAACCUAUUCUCACCACAUAAGUCUUUAUUUCCUCAGGCAAUUCUAUAAAUAUCAGCCUAUUUAUUUCUCAUUAAGUCCAAUGUCACUGAAAGUGAAUCGGACCCUUAAUAUUGUUCCCUAUGCUUGUUUAUGAUGACCACCACACUGCCACAGAAAGGAAAGGUGUUUUUUUCCACUGGAGCUAAACAUGAGGAAGUUUGAGUCAGGAGAUGUUAUACAAAUGAUCAGGUAUUCAUGUAGCCUGCUUCUUGAAAUAGUUCCCAUGGCAUCUGUAAACCUGAUGUGUCUGCAUAGAAUUCUGUAUGGCAAGUUGACAUACCAUGUUAAUUAAAGUACAUUGGCUGAAUAGUCCAUUGAUACAAGCCACUUUACAUACUCAUUUAG
rnacentral:lncRNA from 7 species